UACGAAGGGGGCUAGCGUUGUUCGGAAUUACUGGGCGUAAAGCGCACGUAGGCGGAUAUUUAAGUCAGGGGUGAAAUCCCAGAGCUCAACUCUGGAACUGCCUUUGAUACUGGGUAUCUUGAGUAUGGAAGAGGUAAGUGGAAUUGCGAGUGUAGAGGUGAAAUUCGUAGAUAUUCGCAGGAACACCAGUGGCGAAGGCGGCUUACUGG
rnacentral:rRNA from 1 species